rnacentral:rRNA from 1 species
AGAACGAACGCUGGCGGCAGGCCUAACACAUGCAAGUCGAACGCCGUAGCAAUACGGAGUGGCAGACGGGUGAGUAACGCGUGGGAACAUACCCUUCGGUUCGGAAUAACUCAGGGAAACUUGAGCUAAAUACCGGAUACGUCCGAGGUUUUAAUCGACCUUGGAGAAAGAUUUAUCGCCGGAGGAUUGGCCCGCGUCUGAUUAGCUUGUUGGUGAGGUAAUGGCUCACCAAGGCGACGAUCAGUAGCUGGUCUGAGAGGAUGAUCAGCCACAUUGGGACUGAGACACGGCCCAAACUCCUACGGGAGGCAGCAGUGGGGAAUAUUGGACAAUGGGGGCAACCCUGAUCCAGCAAUGCCGCGUGAGUGAUGAAGGCCUUAGGGUUGUAAAGCUCUUUCGCGCGCGACGAUGAUGACGGUAGCGCGAGAAGAAGCCCGGCUAACUUCGUGCCAGCAGCCGC